GGCCGCUUGGCUCAAUGGUUAGAGUAUCUGCCUACGACUUCACGUAGACAUCCAGCAUGGCUGGGACGACAGCAGGGGGUUCCAGGUUCGAGUCCUGGAGUGGUCA